GACAGCCCACGGCCAUCCCAUUUGUAUUCCCUUUUCUAUUUCUCUCUUCCCAGUUCCAGCUAUUCCUGCCUAAGUCCCAAUUGUCAGGAGACUAUUUGCAGCAGUGCCUGUGCGGUAUUUCUCAUGGAGAAGCCUAGAUGGUCACAGGACCAAGUUGUAGUUGGACAGCAAAUGAAUCUAAAGGUAAACAGUGAAUAAUCUAUAGCUUUUAUAUGUUUUCUUUAUAAUAAUGUAAACACUGAGAGUUCCAAAGUAAAAAUUACUAAACAUGGUACAUAUCUACCACUUCAUCUUGUUUUCUCUCUCCCUGGAAACAUUAAAAAAAAAUACAUAUAUUUAGUUGUACAUAGACACAAUACCUUUAUUUUCUUUAUUUUUAUGU
rnacentral:lncRNA from 1 species